rnacentral:rRNA from 1 species
AGUGAACGCUGGCGGUAGGCCUAACACAUGCAAGUCGAACAGCAGCACAGUAAGAGCUUGCUCUUACGGGUGGCGAGUGGCGGACGGGUGAGGAAUACAUCGGAAUCUACUUUUUCGUGGGGGAUAACGUAGGGAAACUUACGCUAAUACCGCAUACGACCUACGGGUGAAAGCAGGGGAUCUUCGGACCUUGCGCGAUUGAAUGAGCCGAUGUCGGAUUAGCUAGUUGGCGGGGUAAAGGCCCACCAAGGCGACGAUCCGUAGCUGGUCUGAGAGGAUGAUCAGCCACACUGGAACUGAGACACGGUCCAGACUCCUACGGGGGGCAGCAGUGGGGAAUAUUGGACAAUGGGCGCAAGCCUGAUCCAGCCAUACCGCGUGGGUGAAGAAGGCCUUCGGGUUGUAAAGCCCUUUUGUUGGGAAAGAAAAGCAGCAGGUUAAUACCCCGCUGUUCUGACGGUACCCAAAGAAUAAGCACCGGCUAACUUCGUG